GCUUGCAUCGUCUAGCGGUGAGGGCGCGACCUUGACACGGUUAAGAUCAUCGGUUCCGAUCCCAUCGCGAGUA